rnacentral:rRNA from 1 species
CAUAGCGAAAUGCGAUACUUGGUGUGAAUUGCAAAGUCCCAUGAACCAUCGAGUCUUUGAACGUGAGUUGUGCCCAAAGAUGUCAGGCCGGGGGCAUGUCUGCCUGGCAUCACACAUCG